CUUCAAGCUCCUUGGCAGCCACUCCAGACUGGCUGGCAGCCUACCCCUUCUCAGCAUUGGUUACACUGUCCCCACUGGGUAUGCUGCCUGGGUUAGGGUGCGAGGGGUAUCUUCAGGGACAGCUUUAUGAACUGUUUAUGGUUCAAGGGAAAGAGCCCUUCACUAGGCCAGAAAACCUAGCGGUAACUACCUAUGAUAUCACUGGUGUAUCAAGAAAUGUCCUCUCCUUAUGCAGAGCCACAGACUUGCAGGAUUCCAAAUGUAUACACAAAAAGAAUCCUCCCCAUGAUGUGCCUAACAAAAGAUCAUACACCCUCUACUUGAAGACCUCUACGGAUAUAUGAGGAGCCCCAUUACCUCUCAAGAUGGCUGAUUCCAUUUUUGUUUAACUUAAACUGUUUUUCCCUCUGCUAGUCCCCCCUAUUGUUUCUGCCCUUUGGCACCAAAUAGAAUAAAUCUAUUCUUUCUUCCUUCUGAGAGCCCUUC
rnacentral:lncRNA from 1 species